AACAGAUGCGGCAAGCGUUAUUCACGAGAACUGGGUGUAAAGGGUGUGUAGGCGGAUUAGAAUUGCCCCUUACAAGAAAUUCUGGCGUGAUGUCGCACUUCUUGAUCUGGAAUGAUAGUCUAUAGAGAUAUGUAGGGGUAGGCGGAAAACGAUGUCAAUAAGUCUUGAUGGCUUAUGCAAAUAUUGGGUACCUCCAUAAGCGAAGGCGGCUCGCCAUACAUAAUCUGACGCUGAGGCAACGAAGCUUAGUGGCGCAAAAGGU
rnacentral:rRNA from 1 species